CGACCCCAGGUCAGGCGGGACUACCCGCUGAGUUAAA
rnacentral:rRNA from 1 species